GAGGGCAUAGCUCAGUGGUAGAGUGCAUGCCUAGCACACAAGAGGUCCAGGGUUCAAUCCCCAGUGCUGCCA
rnacentral:tRNA from 1 species